rnacentral:rRNA from 1 species
GGGGAGACUGGAAUUCCUGGUGUAGCGGUGAAAUGCGCAGAUAUCAGGAGGAACACCAAUGGCGAAGGCAGGUCUCUGGGCUGUUAUUGACGCUGAGAAGCGAAAGCAUGUGGAGCGAACAGGUUUAGAUACCCUGGUAGUCCAUGCUGUAAACGUUGGGCAAUAGGUGUGGGGAACAUUCCACGUUUUCCGCGCCGUAGCUAACGCAUAAGUGCCCCGCAUGGGGAGUACGGCUGCAAGGCUAAAAAUCAAAGAAAUUGACGGGGGCCCGCACAUGCGGCGGAGCAUGCGGAUUAUUUCGAUGCAACGGGAAGAACCUUACCAAGGCUUGACAUAUACUAGACCGCCUCAGAGAUGGGGUUUCCCUUCGGGGCUGGUAUACAGGUGGUGCAUGGUUGUCGUCAGCUCGUGUCGUGAGAUGUUGGGUUAAGUCCUGCAACGAGCGCAACCCUCGUUUUAUGUUGCCAGCACGUAAUGGUGGGGACUCAUAGGAGACUGCCGGGGUUAACUCGGAGGAAGGUGGGGAUGACGUCAAAUCAUCAUGCCCCUUAUGUCUUGGGCUUCACGCAUGCUACAAUGGCCGGUACAAAGGGUUGCGAUACUGUGAGGUUGAGCUAAUCCCAAAAAGCCGGUCUCAGUUCGGAUUGGGGUCUGCAACUCGACCCCAUGAAGUCGGAGUCGCUAGUAAUCGCAGAUCAGCAACGCUGCGGUGAAUACGUUGGCCGGGCCUUGUAGCACCGCC